AUUCUUGUAGUCCAACCUUUCACGACAGCAGCUUUUCACGCUACAAAUUUGGGUGGAACUCCCAACAAGAAUU
rnacentral:tRNA from 1 species